GCAGCCUGAGAGGCAGCAACCCUGACAACUAAACAUGUAAAAUGAGGCAAUGAUCAUGCUGAAGGAAAACGGCAACUACCUAAAUGCACAUUUUCUGUUGCUUCUCUUCUUUCAACCAGUGACAAGUUAUAUUAAAUGGUUUUUAAUAUGACCAAAACAAGGAGGCAGUUUGUCUGAACUUUUAGUUUUAAAGUAAUUAUUUUACAUACAAUUAGGAAAAGACAUAGGGGACAACUAAAUCCUCUUUAGGUAAGAAAAAAAAGGUAAACAAAUCACUCAAACCAAUAGAAAUAUAGAAAUGUGCAUCUGUCUACCAAAUUCAGCUACUUCUAAAAAUUCUUUAUUAGUCUUGAAUUCAAUGAUGGGCAUCCAAAUCCUGCAACCAGCUGCUGUUAAACAAACAGAAAGGUGCAUUUUAUGUUUUUGUUGUUUUACCUCUGAUCAUUGUCUCAUCAUGCCGGGCAGGUAGCACAUCUGAGCAGAAACACACCAGCAGCCUAAAUAAAGUCAGUUUCUUUGAACAAAACUCAAGUAAUUAGCUUUCUUAUUCAAAUAGGCAAAGAUCAAAUUAUAUAUUUCUAAAUAGAUUGCUCCUUUGGCAUAUUUGCAAAAUGUUUGGGAAAACCACCAAAUCUUGCGAUUUGGCGACUUUGCUGGGUGUUAAUUAAAAUUCUUGCUGUCCAGUCAGCAGUGGUGAUUUCUGUUCAGAUCUGGUGAAUGUUCUUGAAAUCCCUUAGCUCUGCAGGUCUCCAACAGCAGCACCACUGCAGGAGUUAGCAGUGAUGCAGUGAAAACAUCAAGGUAAUGUUGGAGCACUAAAGGUGAGCAAGGAUUUCAUCAACCACCUGCUGGGUAACAUGUUAGGGUUGCUGUCUCUCAUGGGACAAGAAUGUGUUCCUUUUUUAAUUUUUUUAACUAUAUUUUCUAAUGAUUUAGAGACUUUAAAGACUUCAAACUUUAUGUGAAGUUCACCUCGAAGAUUUAUUUUUUUUUUUUAGCUGUGUAUAUGGAGGAGGAUACGGAGGAGGUGCAAGAGGAGGCUCAGGAGAGUUGGAGGACAGAAUGAACAAGGCUGUGUUGAAUCGGUUUGACUGCAGAAAUGAGACGAGUUGUUUCCAGCGGCUCUCCGCCGUCCUGCCAGCCUGCCAGUUGCUUAGUAACUAGUGUUUUUGGCUGAAGUCUAACGUCAAAAUAUCUAAAUUAAAGAGGACCUAAAGAAACGAAUGGCCAACACAAACACAUUUCUCUUAAAGCUGAUAUCCAGUAUUCUGUUACAGAAUUGGAUUUUACUGAAACAUGCUGCCUUGCUGGCUUCAACAGCAGGGGCCCCCUCAGGCGACGUGCACACAUUCUGCUGUAAUGGGCCUCCUCAUGGUUGGAGGUCCCCUGUCAAAUCUCAGAACUGAAAGCCCCCCGGAGAAGAGCAAAGGUUUGAAGUUGGAAUAAAGAUCAGAAGGAAAAUAGAAUGCAUCUCUCCUCUGGGCUUUUUACUGCAAGGAGGUGUGACUGCUGGAAGGUGGGGAAGUUAUUUCCUGAGUGGAUGAAGACAUCACAGGGCAAAGCUGAAAACAAUUAACAGAUUUUUGUUGUAUUUUUUAUAGAGCUCAGAUCAACUUUAAUUAUAGACCACUGCAGAUGGGACACAUGCUCUAAAGUGGGGUCCUAAACCUGACUGAAACCCACUUUUAGUUUUUAUUCUCUGCAGAUCAUCAGAAAGCCUGGAGCAAUGUUCAUCCCUCCUCCUCCACCUCUUCAGCAGGACCCGAACUUCUCUAUGCUUGGUAAAUCUUUAGAUUUCUGAAGAUCUCUUGAGGGGUUCCUCACUGCAAAGAAGGUGACCGAACUUUUGCCUUAAGGGG